rnacentral:tRNA from 1 species
CGGGGCGUGGCGCAGUCUGGUAGCGCGUACGGUUCGGGACCGUAAGGUCGGAGGUUCGAAUCCUCUCGCCCCGACCA